CAGUCGACGCUUCUUUUUCACCGGAGCUUGCUCCACCGGAAAAAGAAGAGUGGCGAACGGGUGAGUAACACGUGGGUAACCUGCCCAUCAGAAGGGGAUAACACUUGGAAACAGGUGCUAAUACCGUAUAACAAUCAAAACCGCAUGGUUUUGAUUUGAAAGGCGCUUUCGGGUGUCGCUGAUGGAUGGACCCGCGGUGCAUUAGCUAGUUGGUGAGGUAACGGCUCACCAAGGCCACGAUGCAUAGCCGACCUGAGAGGGUGAUCGGCCACAUUGGGACUGAGACACGGCCCAAACUCCUACGGGAGGCAGCAGUAGGGAAUCUUCGGCAAUGGACGAAAGUCUGACCGAGCAACGCCGCGUGAGUGAAGAAGGUUUUCGGAUCGUAAAACUCUGUUGUUAGAGAAGAACAAGGAUGAGAGUAACUGUUCAUCCCUUGACGGUAUCUAACCAGAAAGCCACGGCUAACUACGUGCCAGCAGCCGCGGUAAUACGUAGGUGGCAAGCGUUGUCCGGAUUUAUUGGGCGUAAAGCGAGCGCAGGCGGUUUCUUAAGUCUGAUGUGAAAGCCCCCGGCUCAACCGGGGAGGGUCAUUGGAAACUGGGAGACUUGAGUGCAGAAGAGGAGAGUGGAAUUCCAUGUGUAGCGGUGAAAUGCGUAGAUAUAUGGAGGAACACCAGUGGCGAAGGCGGCUCUCUGGUCUGUAACUGACGCUGAGGCUCGAAAGCGUGGGGAGCAAACAGGAUUAGAUACCCUGGUAGUCCACGCCGUAAACGAUGAGUGCUAAGUGUUGGAGGGUUUCCGCCCUUCAGUGCUGCAGCUAACGCAUUAAGCACUCCGCCUGGGGAGUACGACCGCAAGGUUGAAACUCAAAGGAAUUGACGGGGGCCCGCACAAGCGGUGGAGCAUGUGGUUUAAUUCGAAGCAACGCGAAGAACCUUACCAGGUCUUGACAUCCUUUGACCACUCUAGAGAUAGAGCUUCCCCUUCGGGGGCAAAGUGCCAGGUGGUGCAUGGUGGUCGUCAGCUCGUGUCGUGAGAUGUUGGGUUAAGUCCCGCAACGAGCGCAACCCUUAUUGUUAGUUGCCAUCAUUCAGUUGGCCACUCUAGCAAGACUGCCGGUGACAAACCGGAGGAAGGUGGGGAUGACGUCAAAUCAUCAUGCC
rnacentral:rRNA from 1 species